GACGAACGCUGGCGGCGUGCUUAACACAUGCAAGUCGAACGGAAAGGCCCUGCUUUUGUGGGGUGCUCGAGUGGCGAACGGGUGAGUAACACGUGAGUAACCUGCCCUUGACUUUGGGAUAACUUCAGGAAACUGGGGCUAAUACCGGAUCGGAGCUCCUGCUGCAUGGUGGGGGUUGGAAAGUUUCGGCGGUGGGGGAUGGACUCGCGGCUUAUCAGCUUGUUGGUGGGGUAGUGGCUUACCAAGGCUUUGACUGGUAGCCGGCCUGAGAGGGUGACCGGGCACAUUGGGACUGAGAGAGGGCGCAGUGGCCUACGGUAGGCAGCAGGGGGGAGUAUUACACAAUGGGCGGAAGCGUGAUGCAGAAACGCCGCGUGCGGGAUGACGGCCUUCGGGUUGUGAACCGCUUUCGCCUGUGACGAAGCGUGAGUGACGGUAAUGGGUAAAGAAGCACCGGCUAACUACGUG
rnacentral:rRNA from 1 species